CUCCAAUAGCGUAUAUUAAAGUUGUUGCAGUUAAAAAGCUCGUAGUUGGAUCUCGGGUCCAGGCCUGCGGUCCGCCUCGCGGCGGUCACUGCUCGUCCUGACCUCCCAGCCGGUGUGUCCCUUGGUGCUCUUGACUGAGUGUCUCGGGCGGCCGGAACGUUUACUUUGAAAAAAUUAGAGUGUUCAAAGCAGGCGUGUCGCCUGUAUAAUGGUGCAUGGAAUGAUGGAAUAGGACCUCGGUUCUAUUUUGUUGGUUUUCGGAGCUCGAGGUAAUGAUUAAGAGGGACAGACGGGGGCAUUCGUAUUGCGGUGUUAGAGGUGAAAUUCUUGGAUCGCCGCAAGACGAACUACAGCGAAAGCAUUUGCCAAGCAUGUUUUCAUUAAUCAAGAACGAAAGUCAGAGGUUCGAAGACGAUCAGAUACCGUCGUAGUUCUGACCAUAAACGAUGCCGACUGGCGAUCCGCCGGAGUUGCUUCAAUGACUCGGCGGGCAGCCCCCGGGAAACCUAAGUUUUUGGGUUCCGGGGGGAGUAUGGUUGCAAAGCUGAAA
rnacentral:rRNA from 1 species